GCCCGAGUGGUGAAAUUGGUAUACACGUAUGCCUUAGGAGCAUAUGCCUCACGGCGUGCUGGUUCAAGUCCAGUCUCGGGCACCA
rnacentral:tRNA from 3 species